rnacentral:rRNA from 1 species
CAGCAGCCGCGGGAAUACGGAGGGAGCUAGCGUUAUUCGGAAUUACUGGGCGUAAAGCGCACGUAGGCGGCUUUGUAAGUAAGAGGUGAAAGCCCAGAGCUCAACUCUGGAAUUGCCUUUUAGACUGCAUCGCUUGAAUCAUGGAGAGGUCAGUGGAAUUCCGUGUGUAGAGGUGAAAUUCGUAGAUAUUCGGAAGAACACCAGUGGCGAAGGCGGCUGACUGGACAUGUAUUGACGCUGAGGUGCGAAAGCGUGGGGAGCAAACAGGAUUAGAUACCCCCGUAGUCCCUGUCUCUUAUAC